GCAGCGGGCAGUGGGGCUGAUGGGCCACGAUCCCCACUGGGGCGCAUUGGGGCUUUGGCUGGCUCUUGCUGAAGAACAGGAGGGGCCUGGGUGGCCAAGCCCCGCCCCACACCCCGCCCUCUGGCUGAGCAGCGGCUCUCCUCUUCCUCUGUUUCAGAUCAGUUACAGUUACAGAAAAAUGGAAUCCUGUACGAGGCACUUUAUAUGAUACGGGAUUUCGCUUCUGAAUUUGAUCCAGAAAGUGCAGAAAAGUCUGACCACCUGCUCCUCGACCUGCCCGAGUGGAUUGCCCACAAUACCAACCUCUUCUACUUUGACACCGACACGGCCGACUUUGCCGGUGCCAUUGAAAAAUGUGCCGAGAGGGGGGCGAAUCUGACUUCACUCAAAUUUCCUGAAGAAGUGGUGAGUUGAGCAGGAGGAGGUGGACCAGCAUCCACCCACCAAUUGCAGAGAAGCAAAAGUAUUCAAAUUCAUA
rnacentral:lncRNA from 11 species